rnacentral:rRNA from 1 species
AGAGUUUGAUCCUGGCUCAGGAUGAACGCUAGCGACAGGCCUAACACAUGCAAGUCGAGGGGCAGCACGGUGUAGCAAUACACGGGUGGCGACCGGCGCACGGGUGAGUAACGCGUAUGCAACCUGCCUACUACAAGGGGAUAACCCGUUGAAAGACGGACUAAUACCCUAUAACACAGGGAAUCCGCAUGGAUAUAUUUGUUAAAGAUUUAUCGGUAGUAGAUGGGCAUGCGUUCCAUUAGCUUGUUGGUGAGGUAACGGCUCACCAAGGCAACGAUGGAUAGGGGAACUGAGAGGUUGAUCCCCCACACUGGAACUGAGACACGGUCCAGACUCCUACGGGAGGCAGCAGUGAGGAAUAUUGGUCAAUGGACGAGAGUCUGAACCAGCCAAGUCGCGUGAAGGAAGACGGCCCUACGGGUUGUAAACUUCUUUUGUAAGGGAAUAAAUAGUCUUACGCGCUAAGACGUUGCAGGUACCUUACGAAUAAGGAUCGGCUAACUCCGUGCCAGCAGCCGCGGUAAUACGGAGGAUCCGAGCGUUAUCCGGAUUUAUUGGGUUUAAAGGGUGCGCAGGCGGCAUGUUAAGUCGGCGGUGAAAUUUUGCAGCUCAACUGUAAAAGAGCCUUCGAAACUGGCAAGCUUGAGUGUGGAUGAAGUAGGCGGAAUUUGUGGUGUAGCGGUGAAAUGCAUAGAUAUCACAAAGAACACCGAUUGCGCAGGCAGCUUACUAAACCAUAACUGACGCUCAUGCACGAAGGCGUGGGGAUCAAACAGGAUUAGAUACCCUGGUAGUCCACGCAGUAAACGAUGAUUACUGGCUGUUUGCGAUACAAUGUAAGCGGCUGAGCGAAAGCGUUAAGUAAUCCACCUGGGGAGUACGUUCGCAAGAAUGAAACUCAAAGGAAAUUGACG